UACUCCUUUAUCUUCAGCUUCUGUUGAUUAGCUCGUUUUCCCUGCGGCCUCUUCUGUCGCUUUCCGUGUUGCAGUUUUGCGAGGGAAAUGGCGGCCCCGGAGCCGCCGCUACCGCCCAUGUCAAGAGGAUGCCAGAGCUCUGCUUCGCUCUCUCCGUCCCGGGGCGACCGAACCCUUCUAGUGAGGCACCUGCCAGCCGAGCUGACUGCUGAGGAGAAAGAGGAUUUGCUGAAGUAUUUCGGGGCGCAGUCGGUGCGCGUCCUGUCAGAUAAGGGACGACUGAAACAUACAGCUUUUGCUACUUUCCCUAAUGAAAAGGCAGCUAUAAAGGCAUUGACAAGACUACAUCAGCUAAAACUUUUGGGUCAUACUUUAGUUGUUGAAUUUGCAAAAGAACAAGAUCGAGUUCAUUCCCCAUGUCCCUCUUCAGACACUGAAAAAAAGAAAAGAUCUGAUGACCCUGUGGAAGAUGAUAAAGAAAAGAAAGAACUUGGUUGUUUAACCAUAGAAAAUGGGAUUGCACCAAACCACGGGCUGACUUUUCCUCUGAAUUCAUGCCUCAAGUAUAUGUACCCACCACCUUCAAGCACAAUCCUAGCAAACAUUGUAAAUGCUUUGGCAAGUGUGCCUAAGUUCUAUGUACAGGUACUUCAUCUUAUGAAUAAAAUGAAUUUGCCCACACCUUUUGGACCAAUUACAGCACGACCUCCCAUGUAUGAAGACUAUAUGCCAUUACAUGCACCUCUUCCACCUACAUCUCCUCAGCCACCAGAGGAACCUCCUUUGCCAGAUGAGGAUGAGGAAUUAUCAAGUAAAGAAUCAGAAUAUGAAAGCAGUGAUGAUGAAGACCGACAGAGAAUGACCAAACUAAUGGAACUAGCAAAUCUUCAGCCCAAAAGACCGAAAACAAUAAAGCAGCACCAUGUUAGAAAAAAGCAAAAAAUAAAGGAUAUGUUGAAAACACCAUCUACUUCACACAGCAGUUUACAUCCAGUGCUGUUACCUUCGGAUGUAUUUGACCAACCACAACCUGUAGGUAAUAAGAAAAUUGAAUUUCAUAUAUCUACUGAUAUGCCAUCUGCAUUUAAGAAAGAUCUAGAAAAAGAACAAAAUCGUGAAGAACAAAAUUAUGAUUUACCUGCUACUGAAGGUGAUACACCCAAUGUAGGAUUUGGAAAAAUCUUCCCCAAACCUAAUUUGAACAUCACAGAGGAGAUUAAAGAAGACUGUGAUGAAAUGCCAUCAGAAUGUAUUUCUAGAAGGGAGUUGGAAAAAGGCAGAAUUUCUAGAGAAGAAAUGGAAACACUUUCAGUUUUCAGAAGUUAUGAACCUGGUGAACCGAACUGUAGAAUUUACGUAAAGAAUUUAGCUAAACAUGUUCAAGAAAAGGACCUUAAGUUUAUUUUUGGGAGAUAUGUUGACUUUUCUUCAGAAACACAACGGAUAAUGUUUGAUAUCCGUUUGAUGAAAGAAGGUCGCAUGAAAGGACAAGCUUUCAUUGGACUUCCAAAUGAAAAAGCAGCAGCAAAAGCCUUAAAGGAAGCUAAUGGAUAUGUUCUUUUUGGAAAACCGAUGGUGGUUCAAUUUGCUCGAUCUGCUAGACCAAAACAAGAUUCUAAAGAAGGAAAAAGAAAGUGCUAAAAAUUAAUAAAGAAGCAUUCCUGCGUAAAUACUGCUGUAAUACUGUCAUACAAAGUGUAUCCUUUCUUGUUGAAUAAGAAAAUAGGAACAGAGGGAAGAAGACAUAAUGUUGACUCAGGGUAGCACAUUAAGUGAAAAGAAACAGUACUGGUAGGUAUACAGAAUAACAGUGGUUUCCAGAAUGGUUGAUGACCAGAAUUACUCAAAACAGUGGUUUUUUAUCUUGGCCACAUUUUGGAAAUCACCUGAGAAACUUUUGAAAAAUACUGAUAAAAGAAAAAAGGCUAAAAAAUA